UACCUCCAUUGCCUCUCAAGUACUUAGACUACAAAACGUACACCACCCUACCAGGCAACAUUGGCUAUCUUGAAGUAUCAGAUACUGCCAGAGCCAGUUAAAGUCAUGCUCCCCCAGUCUUUAUUUGGAUUUCCAAUAUUUUUAGUUACAGGCAAGAACU